UACGUAGGGGGCAAGCGUUAUCCGGAUUUACUGGGUGUAAAGGGAGCGCAGACGGCAGUGCAAGUCUGGAGUGAAAGCCCGGGGCCCAACCCCGGGACUGCUCUGGAAACUGUACGGCUGGAGUACGGGAGGGGCAGGCGGAAUUCCUAGUGUAGCGGUGAAAUGCGUAGAUAUCAGGAGGAACACCGGUGGCGAAGGCGGCCUGCUGGACUGCAACUGACGUUGAGGCCCGAAAGCGUGGGGAGCAAACAGG
rnacentral:rRNA from 1 species